GAUGAACGCUGGCGGCGUGCUUAACACAUGCAAGUCGAACGGUAAGGCCCUUCGGGGUACACGAGUGGCGAACGGGUGAGUAACACGUGGGUGAUCUGCCCUGCACUUCGGGAUAAGCCUGGGAAACUGGGUCUAAUACCGGAUAGGACCACUGCCUGCAUGGGUGGUGGUGGAAGGCUUUUGCGGUGUGGGAUGGGCCCGCGGCCUAUCAGCUUGUUGGUGGGGUGAUGGCCUACCAAGGCGACGACGGGUAGCCGGCCUGAGAGGGUGACCGGCCACACUGGGACGGAGAUACGGCCCAGACUCCUACGGGAGGCAGCAGUGGGGAAUAUUGCACAAUGGGCGCAAGCCUGAUGCAGCGACGCCGCGUGAGGGAUGACGGCCUUCGGGUUGUAAACCUCUUUCAGCACCGACGAAGCGCAAGUGACGGUAGGUGCAGAAGAAGGACCGGCCAACUACGUGCCAGCCGCCGCCGUAA
rnacentral:rRNA from 1 species